CCAGACAGCCAGGAUGUUGGCUUAGAAGCAGCCAUCAUUUAAAGAAAGCGUAAUAGCUCACUGGUCGAGUCGGCCUGCGCGGAAGAUGUAACGGGGCUAAACCAUGCACCGAAGCUGCGGCAGCGACACUAUGUGUUGUUGGGUAGGGGAGCGUUCUGUAAGCCUGCGAAGGUGUGCUGUGAGGCAUGCUGGAGGUAUCAGAAGUGCGAAUGCUGACAUAAGUAACGAUAAAGCGGGUGAAAAGCCCGCUCGCCGGAAGACCAAGGGUUCCUGUCCAACGUUAAUCGGGGCAGG
rnacentral:rRNA from 1 species